rnacentral:rRNA from 1 species
AAGUUGGGGUAUCGAAACGAUUAGACACCGUUGUAGUCCCAACCACAAACUUUGCUGACUGGCCUUGUGGCACCCUACGGCUUCGGCUAGGGGGUGGUGCGGGGCCUAGGCGAAAGCAUAGUCUUCGAGUCACUUGGAGAGUAUGCCCGCAAGAGUGAAACUUAAAUGAGUUGGCGGAGUCCCAUACAUGAACUGGAGCUUGCGGUUUAAUUUGAUUCAACACGGGACAACUUACCAGGGCCUCGGCAAGUAUGAGUCGUUCCCUGUCUCAGGGUGUGGUUGAAAUCCAACGACGAUUUUGCCUGGGGUUGUGCAUGGCCACCCGAGGCCGAUGGAUUGAUCUUUUGGUUAAGUCCGGUAAUCGGCGAGACCCGCGCUGUCAGUUUCGAGCCAAGAGGCGAGUCUGGCAGAACCGCAUUCGCAAGAGUGAGGUAGGACGGUCAAAGGUAGGUCCGGUGAUGCA